UACAGAGGUGCCAAGCGUUGUUCGGAUUUAUUGGGCGUAAAGGGUGCGUAGGCGGUUGUGUAAGUCGGAUGUGAAAUCCCGGAGCCUAACUCCGGAAUGGCAUUCGAAACUACACAGCUCGAGGUCUGGAGAGGUGACUGGAAUUCUCGGUGUAGCAGUGAAAUGCGUAGAUAUCGAGAGGAACACCAGAGGCGAAAGCGAGUCACUGGACAGAACCUGACGCUGAGGCACGAAAGCUAGGGGAGCAAACGGG
rnacentral:rRNA from 1 species